CAUGAUACAGGAUUCAGGUGUCAAAACAGAGUAAAAGACAUUUAUAUAGAGUUGAAGGUCAUACACAAAUUAAUCAACCAAAAACGUGAAAACAAAAAUUAGUUUCGAGUUACAUUAAACUAUGCUGCUAUUUAUGCUGUCAGAGUUAAAUGUUGAGUACAGAAUAACAUAGUUCAUUUAUCGUACAGAUACUGAAACUAAAUGACAUUUAAUGGAUGCAAUCAAAAGUUUAAACAACCACCA
rnacentral:lncRNA from 1 species